GUAGGGAAUAUUGGACAAUGGUCGGAAGACUGACCCAGCCAUGCCGCGUGCAGGAAGACGGCCCUCUGGGUUGUAAACUGCUUUUAUCUGGGAAGAAAAAGGCCAUGCGUGGCAAAUUGCCGGUACCAGAUGAAUAAGCACCUGCUAACUCCGUGCCAGCAGCCGCGGUAAUACGGAGGGUGCGAGCGUUGUCCGGAUUUAUUGGGUUUAAAGGGUGCGUAGGCGGCUGAUUAAGUCAGCGGUGAAAGACUUCGGCUUAACCGGGGCAGUGCCGUUGAUACUGGUUGGCUUGAGUGUCGGAGGGGUACAUGGAAUUGAUGGUGUAGCGGUGAAAUGCAUAGAUACCAUCAGGAACACCGAUAGCGAAGGCAUUGUACUGGCCGACAACUGACGCUGAUGCACGAAAGUGUGGGGAUCGAACAGGAUUAGAUACCCUAGUAGUCC
rnacentral:rRNA from 1 species